rnacentral:rRNA from 1 species
UACGUAGGGUGCAAGCGUUAAUCGGAAUUACUGGGCGUAAAGCGUGCGCAGGCGGUUGUGUAAGUCAGAUGUGAAAUCCCCGGGCUCAACCUGGGAAUUGCAUUUGAGACUGCACGGCUAGAGUGUGUCAGAGGGGGGUAGAAUUCCACGUGUAGAAGUGAAAUGCGUAGAGAUGUGGAGGAAUACCGAUGGCGAAGGCAGCCCCCUGGGAUAACACUGACGCUCAUGCACGAAAGCGUGGGGAGCAAACAGG